CAGCAGCCGCGGUAAGACGAACCGUGCGAACGUUAUUCGGAAUUACUGGGCUUAAAGCGCGUGUAGGCGGGUCGGCACGUCGGUCGCUGAAAUCCCCCGGCUCAACCGGGGAAGUGGCGCCGAUACGGCCGGCCUGGAGGGGGGUAGGGGGGCCUGGAACUUCCGGUGGAGCGGUGAAAUGCGUUGAGAUCGGAAGGAACACCCGUGGCGAAAGCGAGGCCCUGGACCCUUUCUGACGCUGAGACGCGAAAGCCAGGGGAGCGAACGGGAUUAGAGACCCCAGUAGUCCCUGUCUCUUAUA
rnacentral:rRNA from 1 species